rnacentral:rRNA from 1 species
AUGGUGGCUGUGAGGCCAGACGGCGGGAGACGUAGCCGACGAGCCCGACGACAGCAACCUCGAUGGCGAGCUCGACGGCGGCAGAGACGUCUUCUGUACUGCGAGCUCCACCAUCCCUGCACAUACUGUACUGCGAGCUCGACGACGGCGGUGGCAUCUUGUUGGCAGGGACCAGGGCCAGGAAUUAAAAAGCAAACAAAAGCAGGGGCCAGGAGUACAUCUCAACUUUUACUAUAUUUCUUGUUGACAACUAGUGCAGAAAUUGGAGCACCACGAGCAAGCAGGCAGAGGAGCAGAUUUACAGAGGGGUGCUUCUUCUCACCAGCAGCAACACGAGCAGGGGAGCUACGGGCGGAGGAGCAGCAACUUGCACAGGAGCAGGCCCGCUGGGAGCUUGAGGACGAGCUUCAGGUCGAGGCCCGCCGGGAGCUCCAGCUCCAGGCGCUCGAGACGCAGGCGCGCGCAGGUCCUGGACGGCGGGAAGGGAUAGCGGCGGCGCAUGCCCUGGGCGGCGGGAGGGGAUAG